CCAAGACAGAAAGGAAGUCAAAUCCUUAGAGCUUAGGGGCAAAAGGAGGAGAGACAAGUGUCUCUUUCUGUUUUCUUCAAUAUUGCCCAAGUUCACUCCUGCUUCCCAAGGGAAAAGUAAAGCUAAGAAACCACCAAAGACACUGAUUUUCAGCUGGGUCUGCACCUCUUCAAGUCCCCAACACAGUCUGAGAAUGCAAAGAACUGGUCGAGAAAGGGCUGAAUCUGGACUUCUCCCUGUGUUUUUAACAUUGAGAGGACUGGGAAAAAUUCUAACCUACAUAAAUACACAUACCCUCUCCUCCCAAUUCCUUCUCACUUUCUCCCUUGGAUUCUAAUCAUAAUUCCUGGUGAGCUAUGAGUCAGAGCCGUGAGACAGAGGCCAAUAAUUCUUCAUCUCUGUACUCCCAGCAAUAUCUAGCAUAGGGCCCUCUAAUAAAAGAUGCCUGGGAAACAUGUUAAAUGAGUAACAGUAGAAUGAAUGGCCUCUGAGAUUCUGAAAAGGGAUCAGAUCAAUUCUAUGUAUGGAAACUAAAAAAAAAAAAGUAGAGAUCCAAGAUGGCGGCCAGCAGGAGGCUGAUGAAGGAGCUUGAAGAAAUCCACAAAUGUGGAAUGAAAAACUUCCAUAACAUCCAGGUUGAUGAAGCUAAUUUAUUGACUUGGCAAGGGCUUAUUGUUCCUGACAACCCUCCAUAUGAUAAGGGGGCCUUCAGAAUCGAAAUCAACUUUCCAAAAGAGUACCCACUCAAGCCACCGAAGAUCACAUUUAAAACAAAGAUCUAUCACCCAAACAUCGAUGAAAAGGGGCAGGUCUGUCUGCCAGUAAUGAGUGCUGAAAACUGGAAGCCAGCAACCAAAACCGACCAAGUAAUCCAGUCCCUCAUAGCACUGGUGAACGACCCCCAGCCUGAGCACCUGCUACAGGCUGACCUAGCUGAAGAAUACUCUAAGGACCGUAAAAAAUUCUGUAAGAAUGCUGAAGAGUCUACAAAGAAAUAUGGGAAAAAGCGACCUGUGGACUAGAAUCUGCCACGAUUGAUUCCAGUAAGUGUGAGCAGAGACCCUGAGCAGUGCAUUCAGAUACCCGGCAAAACAGGACUCUGUGGAAAAUUGACAUGGGCCACCGCCUGGCGUUCGCUUGUGGCAGUUACUAACUUUCUACAGUUUUCUUAAUCAAAAAUGGUCUAGGUAACCUGUAAAGAAAGGAUUAAAAAUUUAAGA